GAUGAACGCUGGCGGCGUGCCUAAUACAUGCAAGUCGAGCGAACAGAUGAGGAGCUUGCUCCUCUAACGUUAGCGGCGGACGGGUGAGUAACACGUGGAUAACCUACCUAUAAGACUGGGAUAACUUCGGGAAACCGGAGCUAAUACCGGAUAAUAUAUUGAACCGCAUGGUUCAAUAGUGAAAGACGGUUUUGCUGUCACUUAUAGAUGGAUCCGCGCCGCAUUAGCUAGUUGGUAAGGUAACGGCUUACCAAGGCAACGAUGCGUAGCCGACCUGAGAGGGUGAUCGGCCACACUGGAACUGAGACACGGUCCAGACUCCUACGGGAGGCAGCAGUAGGGAAUCUUCCGCAAUGGGCGAAAGCCUGACGGAGCAACGCCGCGUGAGUGAUGAAGGUCUUCGGAUCGUAAAACUCCGUUAUUAGGGAAGAACAAAUGUGUAAGUAACUAUGCACGUCUUGACGGUACCUAAUCAGAAAGCCACGGCUAACUACGUG
rnacentral:rRNA from 1 species